rnacentral:rRNA from 1 species
UACGAAGGGGGCUAGCGUUGCUCGGAAUCACUGGGCGUAAAGGGUGCGUAGGCGGGUCUUUAAGUCUGGGGUGAAAUCCUGGAGCUCAACUCCAGAACUGCCUUUGAUACUGAGGAUCUUGAGUUCGGGAGAGGUGAGUGGAACUGCGAGUGUAGAGGUGAAAUUCGUAGAUAUUCGCAAGAACACCAGUGGCGAAGGCGGCUCACUGGCCCGAUACUGACGCUGAGGCACGAAAGCGUGGGGAGCAAACAGG